rnacentral:lncRNA from 1 species
AUGCAGUGUGUCCAGUCAGCUCUCGCCCAGAGCCUGUGGCCUAAAGAGGAUGAUAGACUGAGCAGGAUCCCAGGAAUCUCACUGAGGGGGCUUAAACUGAAAACAGCACACUAUUUUGGCGACCUUUUGGGAAGUGUUGGAAAACUCAUGAUAGAGCCCAGUCUCACCAGCUUUGCAAUUAGAAUCCGGACAGCAUCAUUGAAGUUUUGAAGUUUCUAAAUUUAAGUAUGUGCGUCCAAGUGAUGAUCUCCCCAGCCUCCACGAGUAUGAUUUCACAAUACUGUGAACUGUAAAUACUGCGGAAAAGGAGCUUUUUACACUUAACGUAGGUAAGAUAGAGAAUGGGCGUGUUGUUGAGAAAUACACACGCAAAAUGAUUGAUUGUGCACUUAAGAGCUUACCAACAAAAAUAGGCAGGACAGCAUUCCUUUUUAAUGAAUACUACCCAGAAUUCUGCAUCCCAAGAGAAGAGGUCUUUGGGGUAUAUGAGGAAGAAGGACAAAGAAUUUAGUUUUCCUGUUUUUGGACUGGCAAAACAAAAUUUUGAAAUGCACAAAAUUUAAUUUUGGCCUUGCUUCCCCUUGCUCUCCUGCUGUCUAGCCUCAGUCCUUCGCAUCCUGUGGUGCCCUACAACCCGCCUUUAGCAUCUGAGUCCCCUCCACGGGGCCCCGUGUGCCAAGGUCACCUGCCUCCCCUAACCCAGUCAGAGCCCCCAUCCUGACAGCAGUGCACCUCGCUGUGGAGAGGGAAGUGACAGGUCACUCUGCAACGUAACUGGAAAUAGUUCACAUCACCUGAAAAAUGGGAUUUACGUCUUAAAGAGAAGAUGCUUUUGUAACCUAAAUGCAUCUGGGUUUAAUAUUGUUCUGAUGAGGAAAACAGCCAUGGUCAGCUCCCCUAAGCUGGCUUUAUUUUCCAUUUUUCUUUUCUCUACUUUUGUCCUGUAAGGUUUUUGAGGCAUAGGCUUUUCUCAUAAUGGGGUAGUCGUUUCUGUGUAUGGGUGGCAAAUGUAUGGGGUCUGUGUUUCUAAGUAUGAAAGCUGCCCAAUUAUAGCAGAGAAAAGAAGAAAGCUGUUUACCAAACCAGAAACACCUACCAAGGGUUUAAGUUGAAUUUAUUUUUUACAGAGGUUGUUUCUACGCUCUGGCACACUUGUAAC